rnacentral:lncRNA from 1 species
CCACCCACUGCUCCUACGGGUGCAGCUGCCCAUCUCUGGGAUCCUCCCAGCCCCAAAUCCCCUGCCCCAUAAAAGGGGCCUAGCACAGGCUCUCAGAAAAGUCCCCGGAGGUCCUCGAGGAGCCCGGUGCCCAAAUCUGUCACCCUACAGAGGAGAGGACACAGCCCAGGAGGGGCAGCUCAGGCUACGGCCAGAGUGGACUCAGCCCAGCACACUGGUUGGAUCCUCGGGGCAGUGACCCUUUCCACCUGCCCAUUCAUCCUUAAGACUGAGAAACCGGCUGACUGGGCCCCACACGGGCCUAAAAGGAGGAGCCAAGGCCAGCCCGGAAUGGUGUCCUUUUUCUGUCUCCACAGCACCAGCACAGGGCCUGCAGGUAUGGUACGGGAGUGCCAAGGUCUCAAUGUGUCCCCCAAAGUGCCUGUGUUGGAAACUUGACCCCCAUAUUCUUACACUGAUGGCAUUUGGAGGUGCGGCCUUUGGGAAGUAAUUGGGGUGAGGUGAGGUUAUAAAGGUAGGGUCCCUCAGGUGGGAUUAGUGGCUAAGGGGAAGAGAGACCUGUGCUGGAAACCUUGCCCUGCCUGGCCACAUGACACCCUCUGCCACGUCAGGAUAGAGUAGAAGGCCCUCAGAAAGCAUAGGCCAGUGCCAGACUUUUGAAGUUCAUAGCCUCCAAAGCUGUGGCCAAAUAAACUUCUAUACUUUGCAAAUUAUUCAGUCCCAGGUAUUUUCUUAUAGCAACAGAAAACAGACUGAGACAAGGCCAUGGCAGGCACAGCACGACCUGACUUGGACCAAAGAUUAAGCCUGAUGAUACUUGUAUGGCACUCACC